CAAUAGCGUAUAUUUAAGUUGCUGCAGUUAAAAAGCUCGUAGUUGGAUUUCGGGUGGGAAUGGCCGGUCCGCCGUUUCGGUGUGCACUUGCUACGCCAACCUUGCUGCCGGGGACGUGCUCUUGAGUUCACGCUCGGGACACGGAGUCGGCGAGGUUACUUUGAGUAAAUUAGAGUGUUCAAAGCAGGCCUACGCUCUGAAUACAUUAGCAUGGAAUAACACGAUAGGACUCUGGCCUAUCUUGUUGGUCUGUAGGACCGGAGUAAUGAUUAAGAGGGACAGUCGGGGGCAUUCGUAUUUCAUUGUCAGAGGUGAAAUUCUUGGAUUUAUGAAAGACGAACUACUGCGAAAGCAUUUGCCAAGGAUGUUUUCAUUAA
rnacentral:rRNA from 1 species